rnacentral:rRNA from 1 species
GACGAACGCUGGCGGCGUGCUUAACACAUGCAAGUCGAACGGAAAGGCCCUGCUUUUGUGGGGUGCUCGAGUGGCGAACGGGUGAGUAACACGUGAGUAACCUGCCCUUGACUUUGGGAUAACUUCAGGAAACUGGGGCUAAUACCGGAUAGGAUCUCCUGCUGCAUGGUGGGGGUUGGAAAGUUUCGGCGGUUGGGGAUGGACUCGCGGCUUAUCAGCUUGUUGGUGGGGUAGUGGCUUACCAAGGCUUUGACGGGUAGCCGGCCUGAGAGGGUGGACGGCCACAUUGGGACUGAGAUACGGCCCAGACUCCUACGGGAGGCAGCAGUGGGGAAUAUUGCACAAUGGGCGGAAGCCUGAUGCAGAAACGCCGCGGGCGGGAUGACGGCCUUCGGGUUGUAAACCGCUGUCGCCUGUGACGAAGCGUGAGUGACGGUAAUGGGUAAAGAAGCACCGGCUAACUACGUG